UCCGGUUUGUCACCGGCAGUCAUCCUAGAGUGCCCAGCUCAACCUGCUGGCAACUAAGAUCAAGGGUUGCGCUCGUUGCGGGACUUAACCCAACAUCUCACGACACGAGCUGACGACAACCAUGCACCACCUGUCUCCCCUGUCCCGAAAGAAAGGCCUAUCUCUAGACCGAUCAGGGGGAUGUCAAGACCUGGUAAGGUUCUUCGCGUUGCUUCGAAUUAAACCACAUACUCCACUGCUUGUGCGGGUCCCCGUCAAUUCCUUUGAGUUUCAGUCUUGCGACCGUACUCCCCAGGCGGAAUGCUUAAUGCGUUAGCUGCGCCACUGAUAAGCAUGCUUACCAACGGCUAGCAUCCAUCGUUUACGGCGUGGACUAC
rnacentral:misc_RNA from 1 species